UUACAUUAAGAAUACUAGAUAUAAGUACGGUCUUUUCAACUCAGAAUAAACACUUCAUAUUUUCACCGCAAGUCUUGUUUAACUAUUUAACAUUUUUAAACAUGCAUACGCUUUUAAAAACUUUUUUUCAGUGCGGCCACUUACCGUGUUUUUUUCGCGAGAGGUGAAAUAACGUAACUUGUUUUCGUCGCAAGGGUUGACGACAUUUCCGGUCUGAGGGGACUGAGAGCUGCGGUGUUGCGUCAUUUCCUGUCUGCGGGAUGGGUACUGAGAAGAGCGGCGCAGGGUACUGAGAGAGGCGGGCUGCAGCCAGACUCCUCUCGAUGUUUCUGACAUGGCUAAGGGACAGCUACUUACUCUGGUUCGGCCCACUUGAAGCUUACUGUUUUCCUGCUGUGUGGGCUUUAUCAUCACCAAGUCGGAGUGGGAGCACUUCGGCAACUGAAGACAAACAGACAGCCACGACUUAUAAGGGGAAGGUCAGCAGGACCUCCAACAUGAUUUCACAUUUACAUGACCACCAUCCGUUACAGAAAAAUCCAAGAUCCUGAUUUAGGAACCCACUCAAGCCUCACCAAGACACGUGAUGUCAAUCAAAGCGCCACAUCAGAUGACUGCACCAUCUGAUUGGAUUCAGUCCAUGUGGGCUUACAGGGAGGGGAGCGGUGACACAUUUGGCUGCAGAUCAGAAGCCCACCUUGCUGCUUUCCCGGCCUAGGAUGGCGUAGCUCAUGAACUGCUCGGCGUCCACCUCCAGCUCAUUGGCAUCCUGCAGAGAACCGUCCACGCUCACGUCCUGAACGCCGUCUUCUCCCUUUCCUCGGCGCACGACCUUUCGCACAAUCUAAACGCACGGUAGCACCGUUAUGAAGGAGGUUUUUCAAAACACAGUGAAUUUGAUAACUGCAUUCUCCGCACUAUAAAAGCCUUAAAUUUUCUCCAAAGCCGACAAUGCGCCUUAUACAGGUAGUCCCCGGGUUACAAACAAGUUCCGUUUGUACGCUGGCGACAUAACCCAAAUUUCAGUAAAUCGAGAUGAACCGUUUAAGUACCAAUUAGAUCUCAAAAUAACUAUGAAAACGUCCAAAAGUAUUGUAUUUUGUUUAAUGGUGCAGGACACACUGCCCUCUAGUGGCAGCGUUGGGUCUGGCUGGACUGUCACCUUGUAUGACUGAGUAGCAGACUCAGAUGUUUGACAUGGAUAAAGGACAGCUGCCUGGCCCACAUAAGGCUGUAAGUUGUUUCAGCUAAUAUAUGUUUGUGUAUGCAUCUGUAACUAAGUUUAGAGCUACGGUUGGUGGAGUUAUGAGUUAGCGAUUUGAAAUGAGAAUUGUAAAUAUGUUAGCAUUCAUAGAAUAUAAGCUAACAGACUUUUGUUAGACAUAUUAGAGGUUAGGGUAACUCCUGUAGCCCGCAAGCUAAUGAUAUGCUAGUGAUUAAAUUUUGUCAUUCGUCUGUGCGAUAGAAAUUCUCACAUAGCCCACACAUAGCCCAUCACAUAGAACUCAAUUUAUUUCAAAAUGGACCCAAAAUGGUGCCAUUCGUUAAUGCUACGUUUGUGCGGUGAAAAUUUUCGUUUGUGCUGCUAUCAUUUUAAAGAUAUUGAGAUAUUAAUUUCAAGUGAUGACGUCAAUCGCAUUGACCCUAUCGCCCCUGACAAAGCGUACCAACGCUCUCAAUAAUAGAGGGGUGUCCCAACAACUAGCUUAAACCUAGCACAAACUAAUGGCACCCCAUCAGGUCCAUUUUCCAGCAAAUGGGGGGCUACGAGUCACGUCAUCACUCGGAAUGAAUAUCUCAAGCCCCAUUUUCUGCAAAAUGGACUCGAAGGGUGCUAUUCGUUUAUAGGUAUAAGCUGCAUAAAAUCACCAUCAAAUUUGAUCUAAUCUUUGUCAAAAUCACACAGAUUAAAAAACAGUGCUUUAAUUAAAGCCACCCAAAUAUUUAUAGGUUUUUUCAUAUUUUAAUGAGGAUAUCAUGCAAACAAUGACAGAAGAGGGAAAAUAAGUAUCUGAACCCUCUUCCUAAGGAGAUUUAAAGAGUAAUUGAAACCAAUUUUUACCAAACAGUUUAGGUCAGGUGUGUGCCCAAUUACUGAUGAGUGGUUUAAAGCUGCCCUGUCCACUAUUAAACACACACCUGGUAAGAAUUGUCUUGAUGAGAAGCAUUGUCUGAUGUGCAUCAUGGCUCAGUCAAAAGAGCUGUCUGCCACCAAGGAUUGUUGAUUUGUAUAAAGCUGGGAUAGGAUACAAAACCAUCUCUAAAAGUCUGGAUGUUUGUCAAUCGACAGUCAGAGAAGUUGUUUACAAAUGGAGAUCUGUAGCUACAGGAAGCGUCUGAUUGAAGUUAUUGCUGCCAAAAGGAGGGGCCAGAAAAUAUUAAAUGUGAUGGUACACUUACUUAUCCCCCCCCCCCUUCUGUCAUUGUUUGCAUGAAAACCUAUAAAUGUUAGGGUGGUUUUAGUUAAAGCAGUUUUUUCAUCUGUGUGAUUUUGCAAAAGAUCAGAUCACAUUUGAUAGUGAUUUCAUGGAGAAAUGUGAGAAACCAUACCACUUGAAUUUGCAAAAUUGCUGAACUACAGCAAUUUUGUAGAGAAGAAUGGGCCAAGAUUAGUCCUGAUCAAUGUGGCGGACUGAGCUGCAGUUACAGGAAGCGUCUGGUUGAAGUUAUUGCUGGCAAACGGGGGACACAAAAUAUGAAAUGUGAUGGUUCACUUACUUUUUACUCACUUACUUACUCAUUUUUUUGCCGUCAUGUGAGAAAAUCCCAAAAGGUUCAGAUACUUUUUCAUACCAUUGUACAAAUGCCUAAAUACGAACAUGAUUGCGUAAAUAUGAGUAUGAAUGUGUAAAUACGUGUACAGAGUUUUGCUACAAUAAUGCUUCCAUAGGAGACUACCUGUGUAUCACUCAAUAUUCAGCUUUAACAGGUCUCACAGCAACUAAUGGAUGCAUUACGUAACCCCAGCCUCUACUGUAGUGUCUAUUCUAUGUACCUUUUAAUGCCUUAUAAUGUGUUGCGUUUUUAUAUUUCAUACAGAAUUAAAAACAAAACUGACCUUUUUAGUGAUGAUGUUUCCAUGCUCAUCUGUAAACUGCUCCUCGCUGACCUGUUCCCCGGGAAGAUCUUCAGCCUCAUCCCCCUGUGGGGAGAUAAUUAACUCUUUCACUGCCACUUGUGAUAUUAGACAUUAAAUUAUGUGGCUCUUUUAGUCCCUCUGCUGUGAAUUGGAAUGAGUUUAUCAUGAGUUGUCACAGCUUCAUCCAACAUUUUUUGAAAUACCUCAAAAUCAAGGGCGUAGGUUUGGUCUCAACUUUGGUAGGGACGAUAUAACAGCAUAACCUGCACUUUUUGCUCAGAACGGGACAUUAAAAUGACCAAACAGAUUACUGAACAGGGCUCAGGGCUACAUUUCUCACCAAUAUGAACCUAAUUAAUUGAUACGCUAAAUGAUUAAUGCAAAAUAAAUCUGCAUUGAUUUAUACUAACUUUCAUGUGUAUUGGUUCAGGUGAUACGUAAUCUGACAUAGCCAAGGACCGAUCUACAUCUGAGGCAUACGAGACUACCCUGAACCAAAGUACUGUCAUAAAAAUUCUGACGUGUGAUUUCUUUCACAGAUUUUUUUUUUUCCUAUGUCAGUGUCCCCCUGAAGUGGACCCAAUCUCGGAUAGCUCCCCAUUUUUUUUUUUUUUAAAUAAAAGGACUUGCACUCUGAAGCCACUGUGUUGCAUUAUUGUAAUGCACAUAAUGCAUACAAAGAUCCAAAUGAGGGACAGCUAGCUUGACUUUGUUUUUCUUUGUGGAGGAUGGCCUGACUGCAGUAGUUUUGCAGGUUAGCAUGUCCACACAGUUUAAAGUUAUGCUAACUCUGAUGCUAGUCGGACUUUCUUCAACAAAAUUAGUGGUGUUUCCCCCACUUCCGCAACAUUGACGUAUUUUUACAUUAGGCCACUGCUGCUGGCCGAAAAAAAAAAACACUUCUAAAAUCCCUCCUUCUCGAGGGGGCGGAAGAGGCGGGUUGAGUCAAGUCUAGGAGUUCAUAGUAACGCGUUCUUUUUCUUCAGUUACAUUUACUUGAGUAACUUUUUCUAGUAGUUUUACCACACAAUACUUUUUACUUUUACUUAAGUAGGUUUGUGAAUAAACACUUCUCUUACUCCACUACUUUGGCCUACACUAGAGUUGUUACAUUUUUUUGUCUUCAUUCUACAUAUUGACUUUAUUUUUGCCAGAGAUGCCAACAGUGGCCUUCUCACUUUCACCAAUGAGAUGUCGAAACAACCACAUGACUCCGUUAUACCAAUCAGAGUGAAAAAUGUUUUUUUUUUCUCCACUAGAGGGCACCCGCGCUCUUCGUGUCAUAUUAUUGUUCUGGUCUGAAUUGGAGGAUUUUUUUUGUCAUUCUUUUGGCCUAAUAUGGUCAUGUAAUAGGUUAUAAUUAGGGUUGUUACGAUCAUGUUUUUUUGCUCCCGACCCGAUCCCGAUCGUUUUAGUUUGAGCAUCUGCCGAUCCCGAUAUCUCCCGAUCCGAUUGCUUUUUUUUCUCCCGGUUCAAUUCCAAUCAUUCCCGAUAAUUUUUCCCGAUCAUAUACAUUUUGGCAAUGCAUUAAGAAAAAAAUGAAUACAACUCGGACAAAUAUAUACAUUCAACAUACAGUACAUUCAAUAUACAGUACUGUAUUUGUUUAUUAUGACAAUAAAUCCUCAAAAUGGCAUUUACAUUAUUAUUAACAUUCUUUCUGUGGGAGGGAUCCACUGAUAGAAAGACUUGUGACUUUGUAUAUUGUGACUAAAUAAUGCCAUCUAGUGUAUUUGUUGAGCUUUCAGUAAAUGAUACUGUAAGCAUGCCCAAAUGCAUGAUGGGAAGUGGAACCAUGACUGUGCGUAGUGCUACCAAUGGAUAUAGCUUCUCUGCGUUGGGAAAUAACAUAAGGUGUUAAGAAAAAGAUCAGUUGCUACCUUGCUUCCCCACAUUGCUUCCCAUGAUAAUUCUAAUCAUAUAUAGAGGGAUUGUAAGGCUCUAGCCAAUUAAAAAAAGGCUCCAAAGGCUGCCAAAAUUUACUGUACUCAUUUAACGCUGCCUUUUAUCUCUCUAUAUAGGUAAAACGGCGCCAUUACAGAUUGAGCGCGCCACUGCGCGAAUGGGUCGUGCAGCACAUGCAUUAAUUGCGUUAAAUUUAUUAACGUGAUAUAUUUUUUAAAAAUUAAUUACCGUCGUUAUCGGGAUAAAUUUGAUAACCCUACCUUAAGCCUAAACUAAAGACUCUGGAUGAGUGUAACAUAUUAUG